GACGGAGGGGGCAAGCGUUGUUCGAAAUUAUUGGGCGUAAAGGGCUCGUAGGCGGAUCCGCCAGUCUGACGUGAAAUCUCCACCGCUCACCGGGGAGGGGCCGUUGGAUACUACGGAUCUGGAGUUCGGCAGAGGACCAUGGAAUUUCGGGUGUAGCGGUGGAAUGCGUAGAUAUCCGAAAGAACACCGGUGGCGAAGGCGGUGGUCUGGGCCUGAACUGACGCUGAGGAGCGAAAGCCAGGGGAGCAAACGGG
rnacentral:rRNA from 1 species